rnacentral:rRNA from 1 species
UACAGAGGGUGCAAACGUUGUUCGGAUUUACUGGGCGUAAAGCGCGUGUAGGCGGCUUUUCAAGUCGGAUGUGAAAGCCCGGGGCUCAACCCCGGAAGUGCAUUCGAUACUGGAAGGCUGGAGUCUCGGAGAGGCGGGUGGAACUCUCGGUGUAGAGGUGAAAUUCGUAGAUAUCGAGAAGAACACCGGUGGCGAAGGCGGCCCGCUGGACGAUGACUGACGCUGAGACGCGAAAGCGUGGGGAGCAAACAGG